rnacentral:tRNA from 1 species
AUUUAAGUAGUUUAAUUAAAAUAUUGAUUUGUGAUUUCAAUGAUACAAUUUUUGUCUUAAAUA